CAGCCCUUGACAUGGCAGGACGAUUUCCGGAGACGGAUCUCUUCACUUCGGUGACCUGCACACAGGUGCUGCAUGGCUGUCGUCAGCUCGUGUCGUGAGAUGUUGGGUUAAGUCCCGCAACGAGCGCAACCCUCGCCCUUAGUUGCCAUCAUUUAGUUGGGCACUCUAGGGGGACUGCCGGUGAUAAGCCGGAGGAAGGUGGGGAUGACGUCAAGUCUUCAUGGCCCUUACGGGCUGGGCUACACACGUGCUACAAUGGCGGUGACAGAGGGUUGCUACACAGCGAUGUGAUGCUAAUCCCUAAAAGCCGUCUCAGUUCGGAUUGCACUCUGCAACUCGGGUGCAUGAAGUCGGAAUUGCUAGUAAUCGCAGAUCAGCACGCUGCGGUGAAUA
rnacentral:rRNA from 1 species